rnacentral:rRNA from 1 species
CCUACGGGAGGCAGCAGUGAGGAAUAUUGGUCAAUGGCCGAGAGGCUGAACCAGCCAAGUCGCGUGAGGGAAGAAGGCCCUACGGGUUGUAAACCUCUUUUGUCGGGGAGCAAAGCGCGUCACGUGUGCCUCCUUGAGAGUACCCGGAGAAAAAGCAUCGGCUAACUCCGUGCCAGCAGCCGCGGUAAUACGGAGGAUGCGAGCGUUAUCCGGAUUUAUUGGGUUAAAAGGGUGCGCAGGCGGAGGUGCAAGUCAGCGGUCAAAUUGCGGGGCUCAACCCCGUACUGCCGUUGAAACUGCAUGCCUGGAGUGCGCGAGAGGUAUGCGGAAUGCGUGGUGUAGCGGUGAAAUGCAUAGAUAUCACGCAGAACUCCGAUUGCGAAGGCAGCAUACCGGAGCGCAACUGACGCUCAUGCACGAAAGCGUGGGUAUCGAACAGGAUUAGAUACCCUUGUAGUC